UACCGGCUGCUCGAGUGAUGGCCACUAUUACUGGGUUUAAAGCGUCCGUAGCUGGACUGUUAGGUCCCUUGGGAAAUCUUCACGCUUAACGUGAAGGCGUCUAAGAGAUACCGGCAGUCUUGGGACUGGGAGAGGUAAACCGUACUUCGGGGGUAGGAGUGAAAUCUUGUAAUCCUCGAGGGACGACCUAUGGCGAAGGCAGUUUACCAGAACAGCUUCGACAGUGAGGGACGAAAGCUGGGGGAGCAAA
rnacentral:rRNA from 1 species